rnacentral:rRNA from 1 species
ACCAGACUCCUACGGGAGGCAGCAGUGGGGAAUAUUGCACAAUGGGGGAAACCCUGAUGCAGCGACGCCGCGUGAGUGAAGAAGUAUUUCGGUAUGUAAAGCUCUAUCAGCAGGGAAGAAAAUGACGGUACCUGAUUAAGAAGCCCCGGCUAACUACGUGCCAGCAGCCGCGGUAAUACGUAGGGGGCAAGCGUUAUCCGGAUUUACUGGGUGUAAAGGGAGCGUAGACGGUGAUGCAAGUCAGAAGUGAAAGCCCGGGGCUCAACUCCGGGACUGCUUUUGAAACUGUGUGACUGGAGUGCAGGAGAGGUAAGCGGAAUUCCUGGUGUAGCGGUGAAAUGCGUAGAUAUCAGGAGGAACACCAGUGGCGAAGGCGGCUUACUGGACUGUAACUGACGUUGAGGCUCGAAAGCGUGGGGAGCAAACAGGAUUAGAUACCCGGGUACCG